GCGGAAGAAGCCGCCGCUCCACGUGGGAGAAGCGAUCGCCUCCGGUAACCGGGGGGGUGUGUGUGUUGGUACGGACACAACGGGAAGGGGAAAGAAUUAACUCACUUGACUCAUUGGCAAGACAACUCAUCUUCUACCUGCAAAGUGCUCCUCCCCAUAGCCAUCACUACAAAAAAAAAAAACCACAGAUAGGAAAAAAAAAUAGCCUUUGCAUCAGUAUUGCUCUUAAAGGAGCAUUUCUGGAUGUAAUUUCACUGAAUUUCACUGAAUUUUAGAGUUGGAAGGGACCAUAGAGAUCAUCUAGUCCAACUCCAUAAAGCUUUUUUUUUUUUUU